rnacentral:rRNA from 1 species
GUCUUUUUGAUUAUAAUUUAAAGUCUAACCUGCCCACUGAAUUUUUUGAAGGGCCGCGGUAUUUUGACUGUGCAAAGGUAGCAUAAUCAUUAGUCUUUUAAUUGGAGGCUUGUAUGAAUGGUUGGAUGAGGUAUUAACUGUCUCAAUUUAAUAAAUAAUAGAAUUUUAUUUUUAAGUUAAAAAGCUUAAAUUUAAUUAAAAGACGAGAAGACCCUAUAGAUCUUUAUAACUUAUUUUAUAAUAAUUUUUUAGGUUAAAUUUAUUUUUAUAAAAUUAAUUAUUUUAUUGGGGUGAUAAAAAAAUUUAUAAAACUUUUUUUGUAUAUUAACAGUGAUAUUUGAUUAAUUGAUCCAUUUUUUGUGAUUAUAAGAUUAAGUUACCUUAGGGAUAACAGCGUAAUUUUUUUGGAGAGUUCUUAUCGAUAAAAAAGAUUGCGACCUCGAUGUUGAAUUAAAGGUUAAUUUUAGGUGUAGAAGUUUAAAAUUUUGGUCUGUUCGACCAUUAAAUC